UUGAACCUCAGGCCUUUAGUUACCUGGAUUUUUUUUUUUUCACUCCAGUUCAUUUCCUUGAUAAGAAUUAAAAUACUUUCUGUUUCUACUGAUGAUAAAUUUUCUUGUUAAAAAAAGACUAAGAGGCCGAAUUCCUUCUUAAACCUUAAGGUACUCUAUCAAUCAAAUAUAUUAAAACUGAUUAAAACAAGCUUGAGGGGAAAAAGAAAAUAAGAAUCAAACCUGUCAUUUUUGAAAAUUUAGCCUCCUGUUUUGAAUUAUAUCAGAGAAUGAAUAAAUAUAGUGACUUCCCAGAGACUUUGAUAAAAAUGCAGCUCAAUACUUUAAAAGGUAUUCCAGCCUAUGGUUCAGAUAAGCAAAAAGCAAAGGAGAUUGGAAUUACAAAUCAAUGAUUUUUUCACUCUCAGGAAUUGAAUAGUUUAUCAAUUCCCCUUAAACAUAAAAGAAAUCACAUUUGCAAUCUGAUUUUUACUUUUUAACUGCUAUCUAAGGGCAUUCGCCAUAAUUAUGUUGGAAAAGCAUUAUGAUGAGUCCAAAUGCAGAAUUUUUCCAGAAAAACAUUUCAAUUUAUGAUUUUAAGAAGGAAAAAUAAAUUCUGUGCUUUCAUUUGCUGUUUUUAUCCUUAAAUCUUAUUUAUACAGGUUAGGGAGUAUAUUGUCUUUUCUUUAAUUAUCAAAUGAUUAAUUUGUCCAAGUAGUCUGCAAUAUGUCCUGGCCCAAAGUAACAAACUCACAGAUUGUGGAGCAGCCAAGGCAGUUGCAGAUGCAAUUUUUUUUUUUUCCAGAGUCUCUCUCAGCCAUUUAAAAACUCAAUAGUUGAGCUGAACUUCUAUUGUAAUUCCAUCACAGUUAUUUAGCUAAAAGAAGCAAUUCCAGAAUUUUCAGACAGGCCCAUGAUAGCAAUGCAUAAUCCUUAAAAUUGUCACACUGAUAUUACUUCAGCCCUUUAUAUGGCAAGAUUAAAAGGGCUUUAAUACCUUUCUCUCACAAAGUGGUGUGGAAAUACUGCCUUCUCUGCUUCCUGAAAUAGCUGCUCAGGCUUGCAAUCAUUUAAAAAUAUUAUCGGGGGAGUUUUCAGGGCACAGAAGUUAAAAGAUAAAUUGUGCUGCUCCUGCAAAUGUUAGGAUACGCAUGCUAAUCUGACAUUUCUGAGCGAGGGAUGGAAUAAAAACCUCCUGCAGUGGGAGAGAGGCUGCUGGACAAUGGGUGCUCAUUAAGAAAACACCAGCAUGUGAUUAACAACUACAGAUACCUGCAAAAUCUUCAGAAUUCAAAUUUUGUUUGAGAAUCAGGUGAAAUAUUUGAGGAUCCAUUCAUGUUCAUGUGUAAUGAUCCUCACAUAGAAAGCCACAACAGUGCACACCUUCCAAACAGUACCAUUAUUAUUAUUUUUAAUUUCCUCCAUUUAUUCUUCUCAAGAACUGCAGGGUGAUCACUGGAUAUUGAAGGAAAGGAAGGAAUUACAGGAUUUUUUGUUUCUGCUUCUUGUGUUGUGUCAGGACAGCCAGGACAGUGUUUAGCUCUUGAUGGAAAUGUUAGUAACAGCAACUGAAGUUGGUAUCUUGUAUUUCUCUAUGCAAUAUUGCAAAACAGAACUGAUCAAUGUUUUAUUUUCACAUCAGGACCCAUUCUUCACCUCCGGGAUUUUGAGAAAAUCCUCCGGUCCCUGUUGGGAUGUGGAUUUGUUUAUAUUUUAACAGGUAAAAACUCCAGGUGUGUUUCAGUGCAGAGUGUGAAACUCCAUCAAGUGCAAGAAAAUGCUGAGCACUCCACAAGCUGAGAAGAAGACGCACAGAUGUGAAGUGCACAGAAAUUCCAACCCUUGUGUUUUGCCCACAGAACAUUGAGGACUUUGGGUUUCUUCACGGCAGCCUGCUGAUGGAGUCGCAGGCUGAGGAUGCAGCAGAAGCAGGGACCCUCCCUGGGCAGGCAUCAAGAGCUGCUGGGUCGCUUUCUGCGGAGUCUCACCCCACUCACUCCCCGCCGAUAACUCAGCUGGAUGCUGAGUUAUGAAGGUUAUGAAGUUUAACCUGAUUCCCAGCCACCAAAUCAACCUCUGAAUGCAAGCCUGACUUGAACAGACAGGAGAUAAUUGCGUUUAAUAAGCACGUGGGAAAUGAGGUGUUGGAGGCUCUGUGGUGAGAACGCAAACAAACCCUUGAGAGAACAAUGGCAGAACUGAGCAAUAACUGCACCCUCCCAUCUGCAGCUCUGCCACUCAGCUCCUGCAGAAGAAAGUUGUGGGGCUGAGGAAAAAAAGAGAAUUUCUAAUACCUCAAAAGUCAUCUCAAGCACAGAAACCUGAGACUCAGGAACAGAAGUUACCCAAAGAAUGUGGCACCAAAGCAGUGCAGGAGCUCUGGCUGUCCCCAAGCUUUGUUUGUACUGGUUCUAAAGGAGAAGCCUGAUGGAUCCAAGGAGCUUCCCAGAUCCAAGGAGCUUCCCAGAGCUGCCUUGUGCAGCAGA